ensembl:lncRNA
UGAAUUCAAGGCAGGGGGGUUUUAUUUUUGGAGUUGCUGCUUGCUCCCUCACCCCCAGUCUGGGCAGGUCUGAUGAAGGUCUGUGUUGUUCCCUCUGGCACUCCAAACUGGGAUUUGCAGGGAGCAAGUCAAUACACUCUUAAAACAGAACACACACAGACAGUCUCGUGUUCCUUUCAUUAGUCACCAAGAUACACUAUAUUUACCACAUCAUCCUGAAAGCUGGCAUGAUGGACAUGUCCCAUAUAUACAGGGUGGCAAUGCUUUAAUUGGAUCAUAUAUUUGUAGGGUGCAGGGUUCAGUUGUCUAUCAGUGGAACUUAUUAUUACUGUUAUGGCCCAGUAUACAGCUUCUGUCUGCACACAUGCAGUUUCUGUU